rnacentral:rRNA from 1 species
UUCCCCUUCGGGGGACAAAGUGACAGGUGGUGCAUGGUUGUCGUCAGCUCGUGUCGUGAGAUGUUGGGUUAAGUCCCGCAGUAGUCUGCAACUCGACUACAUGAAGCUGGAAUCGCUAGUAAUCGUAGAUCAGCAUGCUACGGUGAAUACGUUCCCGGGUCUUGUACACACCGCCCGUCACACCACGAGAGUUUGUAACACCCGAAGCCGGUGGAGUAACCUUUUAGGAGCUAGCCGUCGAAGGUGGGACAAAUGAUUGGGGUGAAGUCGUAACAAGGUAGCCGUAUCGGAAGGUGCGGCUGGAUCACCUCCUUUCUAAGGA